GAUGAACGCUGACAGAAUGCUUAACACAUGCAAGUCUUUGGCGAAGCUGUGCUCGCACAGCCUAGCCAAGGCGGACGAGUGAGUAACGCGUAAGGAACUUGCCCUGCAGUCAGGGAUAACAGACGGAAACGACUGAUAAGACCUGGUAAAGUCAGGCGGACUCAUGUCCAGCCUGAUGAAAAGAGAUGCUGCAGGAGAGCCUUGCGUCCUAUUAGCUUGUUGGUGGGGUAACGGCCCACCAAGGCGAUGAUAGGUAGCCGGCCUGAGAGGGUGGACGGCCACAAGGGGACUGAGAUACGGCCCUUACUCCUACGGGAGGCAGCAGUGGGGAAUAUUGGACAAUGGGGGCAACCCUGAUCCAGCAAUUCUGUGUGCACGAUGAAGGUUUUCGGAUUGUAAAGUGCUUUCAGCAGGGAAGAAAAAAAUGACGGUACCUGCAGAAGAAGCGACGGCUAAAUACGUG
rnacentral:rRNA from 1 species